GACGAACCGAGCGAACGUUGUUCGGAAUCACUGGGCUUAAAGGGCGCGUAGGCGGGUGCUUAAGUCCGGGGUGAAAUCCCACAGCUCAACUGUGGAACUGCCUCGGAUACUGGGUGCCUCGAGGGUGGCAGGGGUAUGCGGAACUAUCGGUGGAGCGGUGAAAUGCGUUGAUAUCGAUAGGAACUCCGGUGGCGAAGGCGGCAUACUGGUCCACUUCUGACGCUGAGGCGCGAAAGCCAGGGGAGCAAACGG
rnacentral:rRNA from 1 species